rnacentral:rRNA from 1 species
AUGAAGGGCUGGGGGGCCAACCUGGGCCAUGACGCCAGAGAGCGUAAGAAGGCACUUCUCACCGCGAUCCAGGCGCUUGACUUGCGGGCUCACGCGGUGGGCCUCUCCCCGGGGGAGUGGCUUUCCCGCUAUGAUCUCGAAGACCAGCUCUCUGUGAUUUACACCGAUGAGGAAGCCUUUUGGCUCCUUCGGGGCGCGCAGCGUUGGGUCCUGAAGGGUGAUGCGAAUACGGCUUACUUCCAGGCGAUUGCCAACGGUCGCCGUAGACGCAACACCAUCCCCUGCCUGUGGGAUGGGGCAGCCCUCCUUCAGGAUCCCCGCGACAUUCGCUCCCAUGUCGACGGUUUCUAUCGGUCCCUCUUCUCUCCAGCUACUCGGAGCGGCCUCUCCCUCGCUCCGGAUUGUUGGGCCGGCGCCCAACUUGUCUCUGUCGCAGAGAACACAUCCCUAACGGCUCCCUUCUCUGAGCAGGAGGUCCGGGAGGCCAUCAAGGGGAUGAACUCGUCCUCUGCUCCGGGACCGGACGGUCUCCCAGUCAUUUUCUUCCAGACUUUCUGGAACGUGAUUAAACCAGAGGUCAUGGCCAUCUUUGAUGAGUUCUUUGUGGGUUCUAUUGACCUUACUCGCCUCAACUACGGGACCAUCUCCCUCAUCCCCAAGGUCCCUGGGGUGACUGACAUUCGCCAGUUCCGCCCGAUCACGGUCAUUAACGUGAUCUUUCGGAUCUUGGCCAAGGGGUACGCCAAUAAGGUGAUGUCAGGACCCCGACUCGAUGUCACAUCGAUCUAG